ACUCUUAGCGGUGGAUCAC
rnacentral:ncRNA from 3 species